rnacentral:rRNA from 1 species
UACGAAGGGUGCAAACGUUGCUCGGAAUUACUGGGCGUAAAGCGCGCGUAGGCGGCUUUGCAAGUCGGGUGUGAAAUCCCCAAGCUUAACUUGGGAACUGCAUUCGAGACUGCAUUGCUAGAGUAUGGGAGAGGGAAGUGGAAUUUCCGGUGUAGCGGUGAAAUGCGUAGAUAUCGGAAGGAACAUCAGUGGCGAAGGCGGGUCUCUGGACAGUUCCUGACGCUGAGGCACGAAGGUCAGGGGAGCAAACGGG